CGAUAGUGUAAGUAACUAAUUAAUAAUUAUACGUUUAUUGUUCUGAGGGUGCCUAAUUUGAUAAACUGGGGCCACAAACUAAUUUAGCGCUAUCUGUAAUUUCAUAUAAAUUGCUUCCAUUGAAAAUUCCACUCCUUAUAAUCCAGUUCAGUAUUUUGAUGACUUGCGGUGGCAGUUCCCAAAUCUGUGAAACAUAACCAAAAGUUAUAAAACUUUGUAAAUGUGAAAAGUUCUAGUGUAUUUAAAUAGCCUGUUAGUUUCUACUACUAGUACAGUACUAUCUAUUAUUGAGCUAAAGU